UACGUAGGGUGCAAGCGUUGUCCGGAAUUAUUGGGCGUAAAGAGCUUGUAGGCGGUUUGUCGCGUCUGCUGUGAAAAUCCGGGGCUCAACCCCGGACUUGCAGUGGGUACGGGCAGACUAGAGUGUGGUAGGGGGAGACUGGAAUUCCUGGUGUAGCGGUGGAAUGCGCAGAUAUCAGGAGGAACACCGAUGGCGAAGGCAGGUCUCUGGGCCACUACUGACGCUGAGAAGCGAAAGCAUGGGGAGCGAACAGG
rnacentral:rRNA from 1 species